UCGAAGAGUAGAAGCGUUCAACCGCCCCGCCCUUUCCAGGCACCGGGGCGGCAGGAAAUUGCUCUUGAG
rfam:Cupriavidus metallidurans CH34 megaplasmid, complete sequence.